GAUGAACGCUGGCGGCGUGCCUAAUACAUGCAAGUCGAGCGAACAGACGAGGAGCUUGCUCCUUUGACGUUAGCGGCGGACGGGUGAGUAACACGUAGGUAACCUACCUAUAAGACUGGGAUAACUUCGGGAAACCGGAGCUAAUACCGGAUAAUAUUUCGAACCGCAUGGUUCGAUAGUGAAAGAUGGCUUUGCUAUCACUUAUAGAUGGACCUGCGCCGUAUUAGCUAGUUGGUAAGGUAACGGCUUACCAAGGCAACGAUACGUAGCCGACCUGAGAGGGGUGGUCGCCACCCUGGGACGGGGACCGGGCACAAUCCUCCUGAGGGAGGCAGCAGAGGGGUAUCUCCGGCAGUGGGGGAAAGCAUGCCGGAACACCGCGGCGUGAGAGAUAAGGGUUUUGGGUUCGUAAACCUUUUUUUUGGGGGAAAAACAACGUUGUAAGAAACUGUACCGUUCUUGACGGUACCUAAUAAAAAAGCCCCGGCUAACUACGUG
rnacentral:rRNA from 1 species